AAUUUUACUAGUUUUUGUUCAAGUGUUUGAGACUGAGAGGAAUUUAUAGUACUUGCAUUGAUCUUUUCCCCUUUGACGUAUAUGUUAUAAUAAUGUUAUAACAAUUCAGACUUUAAAAAUAAAAAACAAUUCCAUUUAGCUUGGCUUGGAUAGUACUGUACCUCAUCUCAACGGAAUUUAUGCUUCUGAAGGAUGGUUCAUGAGGUUGAUGGAGGGAAACAGGCAAUUUGUCACAAGAGACCCAGAAAAGGCUCACUUAUUUUAUCUUCCUUACAGCAUGCGCCAAUUGGAGUUGAAGCUUUAUGUACCUGGUUCACAUCAAAUUAAACCACUGGCAAUAUUCCUCAGAGACUAUGUGAACAUGAUUGCUGGGAAGUAUCCUUUCUGGAAUCGCACACAUGGGACAGAUCAUUUUCUUGUUGCUUGCCAUGACUGGCCUAUAGCUGUUUCAUAUGAAGAGCAACAUAUACAAGUUCAUGCAGCUGUUAUACAGUUGUUUCAUGGUUAGUGUCCCGAGUUCUUUGAACUGAAACAUGGAUGAAUAUUUUCUGGGAUGACGGGGUUGGAUGCCAAACUGAAAAUUCUUACUGCAGCAAAUCUGAUAUAAUUAAAGAGCAUAAAGGUGAGGCUAGGGGCGAUUAAGAAGAAGAGGAACGCUGUGCUGAAGUAUCUGAAGAAUAAUGUUGCUGUUCUUCUCAAGCCUUCAUAUUAAUGUAUAUGGAGGGUUAAGUUUCAUGGCUCAUUAGUUUUAAUGUAUAUGAUGUGUCAAUUUUAUCAUUGUUUUGCUUGGCCUUAAUAGAAAUUAAUACAUUCCCUAAUAUUUAAAGUACAUUUGAAUUUCAUGUUA